CUGCUCAUCAUCGGAGAAGAUAAUUCCAAUGAACAAAUUAAAUUUAUGGUUUUUCAGAAACAGCCUAAGCUUAUCCACGGCUCUGUGAACACGCGCAUGCUUAACACCUCCAAACAUAUGUGAGGGUUCAACCUUCUCGUUUAACAGGUUUGACAUCACACGGAUUAACAAUAACUCUGUCACUCACCUCUUUCCAUACGUUUCAGUGACUUACUGCUUUUGUUGAGAUGCUUUAUCCGGAAGAUCAUGUUUGAAGGUUAAGAUCCGAUGUAUUUAUUUGUACAAAGACAGAGAUUUUGGUGAAACUUAAAGGGAAAUUAAGAGAAAAAGAGAGUCAUUAUAGAGAAAGGGAAACUUAGAAAUACUUUAUUCUUACUACUUUUGAGUGAGAUCUAUGGAAAAGAAAAGAUGAAUACAAAUUUUUUUUUUGGAGUCUCAAUUUUGAAAUUAGAGAGCAAUUGAAGUUCUAGGAAAAAUGUUGAAAAGCCAAAAAAUGUGAGGAGAGAGUCAAACGACAGAAGCAAGAUGAUGGAAGAAAAGAGGAGUGGUGACAUGUUCAUACCUAUGCAUUCAUGUGACAUGUUUACCCACUCUAUACUUUUCUUCUUCAUUAUUAGAGAAAAAUGCUAAUAGUUGAUAAAAAAAAAGAGAAACGAUAAUAAUAAUUAUUUAUAUUUCUACUUUUGACUUUUUCUUCAUGACUUUUGGGUAUCUAUAGAAAUAUUUUCUACAGUAGUCAUUAUAUUACUCUAACAUUUCACCAAUUAAAUCUAAUUUGAUUUUAAUAAAUAUAUAUAUAUAUAUAUAUACAAUUAAUGAGAUAUUUCUAUAAAUACAUGAAGGCAUGUGUUAAAUCCAGAGUUUAAAUAUUGGCUCAUGCGUGGAUGGGUGGGCAAAAAAACCGAACAAACUGAACCGAAACCGAUCCAAACCAAACCAAAGUCUAUUAUUAAAUAGUUCGGUUUAAAGCUAAAGUCACUGUUAACUUUAUUAAAAAAAAAUUUAAAAAAAAUUUCUAUUUAAUUUAGUUAACUUUGGUUUGAUUGUGUUCUUAUCAACUUUUUAUGAUUUUUAAGGUUUUUGUUUCAGUUUUCUAUUAGAUUUAAUUUACAUAGUUUAUUUUUAAGAGAAAUUAUUAGCAAUGUUUUUUAAUUUUCUAUUUAUGAUAGUUAACUUUGAUCUGAUUGUGUUCUUCUAAACUUUAUGGGUUUUAAAAAGAUUUUUGUUUAGUUUUACAUUGGAUUUAGUUUACAUAAUUUUUUUUUUCAUAGUAACCAACAUGAUGAUUUCGUGACCAUGGGUUUAUGUUUUAAAACAUGAUUUCUCUUAAAAGAACUAAACUAGGGGAAUCCGAUUGAACGAAACCGAAACACAAAUCAAGCCGAAUACAAACAGAACCGAAACCGAUCCAAACCUAACUAAUUAUGGUUAAAUUCAGUUGGAAAUUUUUUUAGAACCAAAUUAACCAGACCAAACCGAACCUAAACCGAAUCGAUAUAAUAACCGAAGUGCCCACCCAUACAGAGGAGAAAGAAACAAAAAGUGAUUAUGUACCUGGAAAAUAGACAACAUUCAAGGUAUUGACUCAGUGCUAGCCUCCCAAACGAAACCAGCUUAUCUAUGCAAAUUGAUCUUUUACCUGCACACACACUUACAUAUAUAUACUCGCAGGUUGUGUUCCAAAAAAAAUUAAAAAUCUUGCAGAUUCCACAAAAACCGUUUAUGAGAACUCAUGCAUCUUCUACUUAUUCUUUUGAGGUUUUUCUCUACGAAGAAGAAUGUAAGAAUUAGUUGACAAAUUUUAAGUGUUUAUGCAUAAAGACGGAGAUAUUUCGUUUCUGAAUUUAAAUUAUGAAAAUUCAGUAAAGCAAGAAAAUUUACAAAAAAAGUAAAGCAAGAAGAAUUUCCAUCGUCAUUCUCUCCCGCGAGUGGUGGCCAUGACCCAUGAGAUUAAGAAGUAAUAAUAAAAUCCCUGCUUUGUUCAUUCAUAAAGACAAUCAUACUCAAUUGGUGCACCAACAUAUUUUAAAAAUGUUAUAAGAUUUCACAUAUAUUAUUUUCUUCUUAUUAUUUGGCCAAAUAUUCAUAUAAAUACAAUAUUUUAUAUUCUAUAUAUAUUUAUAAUCAAUGAAAUACUUUUCAAAUAAAAUUGAUUUUAAUUUUUAAAAUCAUAAAAAUUAGUUAUAUUAAUAUCUUUAUAUUUUAAUAUUUUAAAAUUACUUUUAUUUAUUAAAAAAUAUAUCAUUAUUAUAAGAAAAAAUCAAUUUAUGUUAUGUGUUACUCUUACUUUAAAUUUCAAUUUUUGUUUAUUAUAAAAUGUCAACCCCGUCACACCACAUCAAAUGAUGAAGUUAUGUUUUAUUUAGUCACAUAUACAUAACAAAAUCGUAUUAAAAUAGUUAAAUCCGACACUAUGAAAAUGAAUGUGUCAUAAGAUGAAAACUAAACCUUUUUUGUUCACCUAUGAGAGAGCACGUAAACAAAGACCAUCUCCAUCCCUACUCCAUAAUUUACUCCAAAAAUAGAGUGGGAAACUAAGUAUCAACAAAAAAUAAAUAAUUACUCCAUACCUAUUACCCAGAAACAAUUAUUAAUUAGAUAAAAAUGAAUCCGAGCCAAUCCAAACAAUACCAACAGAUCAAACAAGUUCUUGUGCUUCAAUAGUCGUCCAAAUACAUGGCACAUAGUAACAAAACACAGCCCACAACCAUUUAACCAAAAAACCAUUACAAUAUCCAGUCAUCAGUCUGUGCAAAAUUAAAUAUAUUUCUGAACACUAACGGACAAUAAUAUAUAAACUAACACAGAAACGGCAAACAAACACUACUUCAUACUUAUGCACAGUAAUAACACACUAAGAAUAUACAAUUGAAUAGACUGAACUUCAAUAAACUCCAUCAGUUGCAUUUAAGUUAUAUGCCUUACAAAACUAUAAAAAAUGGCUACGGCAACAACACAAACUAUACAACCGCCUUACAAAAAUAUAAUUGGUCGAACAUCAUUCCAAAUUUUCUCUUCAAAUCAACUUACUCUACCCACUAACUCAAAAACCAUAAAUCAUUGCGUACAGCCGUACAUAAGUUAAAACCACCUAAGUACUAAUCAAGUAACACAACAAUGAUAACCACCAUUUCAACACCACAAAAUCCGGGACCUAAUUCCCAGUAUAACAUUAUCAACAUCAACACAUUACUAAACAUAUGGUUGAACAAUUAUCAUAGAUCCCGCGCGUAGCGCGGACACACCACUAGUAUAUAGUAAUACUUGGGCUUUUGAAAUCAUAAUUGGGAAUUUUCAUGUUUACUAUUUUAUUGGUAACAUUAUUUAUGUUUACAAUCACUAAAGAGACAUUUUCAAAAAUAUCUUUUCCACUAAGAGGUAAAAAAACUUAUAUCUUUGUUCUCUCUAUAUAUGUGUAAUAAGUAACUAUUCAAAUAAAUAAAUAAAAUAAAAAAUAAAAAAUAAUAUAUUUUUUUUAUGUUUUCGAAUUAUACUUUGUCAAAUUUGAAUAUUUUUAUAAUUUUUUUUUCAAAAUUUCUUUUUGAAAAUCAAAUUUUUUUUGAAACUAUUUAAAAAAUUUUAAAUAUUUAUUUAUAUAUUUAUUAAAAUCCUAAAUUUCACAUUCCAAAAACCAUAUACCACCCCUCAACUCUAAACCCUAAAUCUAGAUUAGUUAACCAUGGAGUUUAAAUAUAUUUUUUCCUUUUUAAAAGUGAGGAUAAAAAUGGUUAGUGUAAACAUGAAAAGUGGUAUUAUGAAUGUGGUUGUAACAUCUCGAGUUGUUGUGGGAACCGAAAUUUGCACUGUCGAUUUCCGUUUAAAUAAGGAAACUAGGAAAACCCUAAUUUCCCAGAGGUCCCGGAUCUCUGCGAGAGCCAACGACAAGUGAUCGAAUGUAUGCGGAAAUCAUGAAAAGAUAUCAAACGAGUUUAGAGAAAACAGUAGAUCUUAUUUCGAGUCCGCGUAAGAGCGUUGCGAUCAUUACAAGAGAAUACAAAGGCUUUGGCCGCAGGGGCCGUCAGCGAGUUACCUAGUUCUAGCAACAUAAAACCCUAAUCCUAGUUGAGUCGCAGCUCGAUAACAAAGGACGAAAAAGAUAUCUAAAAGGCUUAGAUUGAUUUCGGACUGAACCUUGUUAAAGGCUGUCUACGUACCCCUUUCGAGGAUCAAGCCGAACGUAGUUCAAUUGAUAGAGCUGGACAAGAGAUCGAACUGCCUGGGCGAGUUCGUCUAGUAAUUGAGUGCCAGUCAUAGAAACCGAACUUGUCGAGAAUAAGCCUACAGUUUCUAAGUGCAGAGAAUUCCGAAUCUAAAAAGUUCUCCUCUUGCUCCUCGCCUAGGACUCCUUAUAUACUAGCUCCAAGGUCGGUUUACGCUUUUACUCUUCUGCCCUUAAGCCGUCACAGCAUCAAAAUGGAGAUAUUCCAUUUUUUCCGAUCUUCACAAUUAUCUUCAAAACUUCCGUAUUUAUCCGCGGAAACUUGACAUUUAUCCUUCCUUGUGGACCAAGCGUAAACCAGGCUGUGGUUUACGGGCUUUUGGUUAGGAAAAUCAUAGGAUGGGCUUGAGUCGUGUUUUAGGCCCCUUUGGGCCGUCUUCCGACUCGACACGUUUACUACGAGUUUUUCGCGGUUUCUAAUCCGCGAAGUUUGAUCGAUGAAUUAGAAUGGCGGGAAACAUGGACUGAGCUUGCUACGGUCUUCGGGAGAUAGCAUUCGAAGGUUUUGACGAGAAUGCAAGAACUGGUGUCGUAUUGACGUUCGGAAAGGUUCAAUUGCUACACAGCGACCGAACUUUGGCUCGAGCCCGGUCGCUUCGUAGCGACCGAGCUUGGCUGAGCUCGGGACGAUCGCUCGGUCGCUAUGUAGCGACCGAGCUUUGGCUCGAGCUUGGUCGCUAUGUAGCGAUGAGCGAUCGUCCCGCUCGGUCCCGCUCGGUCGCUACGUAGCGACCGAGCUCAGCCAAGCUCGGUCGCUACGUAGCGACCGAGCGAUCAUCCUGCUCGGUCGCUAUUACAAUAAAGUUGACAAGUCUCAUUUCUCAUGAAGCCACCUCAGCGAAGGGGGUUCCAAAACGCGACACGUGUCAUCUCAUUAUUUAUUCAUCUCAAGUUUUUGUUUAUGUUAAUGGACCAAGUGUUCUAUUUAGUAAGUUAUUGGGCUUUUAUAAUGGACCAAGAGUUUCCAUCUUUUAGACGUUGGAGAUGCUGAGCAGAGCCGCAAUAUCAUGACGCCUCGGAACAAUUCCUCUAUAACGGCUGCAGUUUCAUUUAUUUGCUACUUCAAUUCACCAUUUAAGUUUCUCAGUUACGCCAUUAAAUCUAAUAUUUUCACUACGUCGUAUUCAAUAUCCCUACUCUUUCUCAAUAAAAUGAAAAUAACUAAAUUGAAGGUCACUGAGACAUGUCAUAUAGUCAAAAUAUUUAUCAAAUUAUAAAUACAUUAAAUUAUUCUAUCAAUUAAAAAAUAAUUACUCCAUAAAAAUAUGUUGUACAAAAAUUAUAGUUUGACCAUUGCCUUAGUAACAUAACAAAUUAAAUUAACAAUUUUUGCCAUUGAGAUUUAUCUUUUAUUUAUAAAGCUCAGUAAGACUAUUUUAGUUCGACAUAAGAAAAUUAACCAACCAUUCUUAUUCACAUUCAUGGCUGCUACAUAUACCAUUCCUAAACAGUUAUAGUCAAACACAUGAACAAACUUAGUUUCCAAAAAAAAAAAAACUUAAGCAACUUGAAAAUGAUAUUCAUUCAUUAUAUUCCAAAAAGUCUUUUGCCAUUUUCUUUGCGGCUUAAGCAGCUUGUAGAAACUAGCAUUUUCAUUAAUGAAUAUUUACCAUUUAGCAAAAAAAAAAACUUACUUUAUCAUUAAUCUAAUAUAAUCUAGUUCACUAAAAUUUGCACCAAAGUUUUGUUGAAAAUUUGGGGGAACAAAAAUACCAUAUCAUAUCUAGCUUCUACGUCUAACUGCAUCACCAGAGUCGUCCUAUGAAGAUCUACGUCCUAUAAAUAAGGAUGUGUUCCUCCGUGAAGCUCAAUCCUCCUUAGACUCUGAAACAGCCACCUUGAACCUUUUGUUAUCCGACUUGAAAGCCAGUUGUUGUGCCAACACCGUUGAAGCCCGACUUUUUGGGUUUACCUGCUCAUCAUCGGAGAAGAUAAUUCCAAUGAACAAAUUAAAUUUAUGGUUUUUCAGAAACAGCCUAAGCUUAUCCACGGCUCUGUGAACACGCGCAUGCUUAACACCUCCAAACAUAUGUGAGGGUUCAACCUUCUCGUUUAACAGGUUUGACAUCACACGGAUUAACAAUAACUCUGUCACUCACCUCUUUCCAUACGUUUCAGUGACUUACUGCUUUUGUUGAGAUGCUUUAUCCGGAAGAUCAUGUUUGAAGGUUAAGAUCCGAUGUAUUUAUUUGUACAAAGACAGAGAUU
rnacentral:lncRNA from 1 species